rnacentral:sRNA from 1 species
UGACUGCGUACAGGUGAACGAUGUCGUC